rnacentral:rRNA from 1 species
GCAACUCGCCUGCAUGAAGUCGGAAUUGCUAGUAAUCGUAGGUCAGCAUACUACGGUGAAUACGUUCCCGGGCCUUGUACACACCGCCCGUCAAACCAUGAGAGUUGGCAACACCCGAAGUCGGUAGUCUAACCGCAAGGAGGACGCCGCCGAAGGUGGGGUCGAUGAUUAAGGUUAAGUCGUAACAAGGUAAC